rnacentral:tRNA from 1 species
AAUAAAAUGGCUGAGAUUUAAGCGAUAAAUUGUAAAUUUAUUAACAAGAAUUAAAUUCUUUUUUAUUA